rnacentral:rRNA from 1 species
CGCCAUUGGGGGCAGGCUACACAUGCAAGUCGAGCGGCAGCGGGGAAGUAGCUUGCUACUUUGCCGGCGAGCGGCGGACGGGUGAGUAAUGCUUGGGAACUUGCCUUUAGGAGGGGGAUAACCACGGGAAACUGUGGCUAAUACCGCAUAAUGUCUACGGACCAAAGCAGGGGCUCUUCGGACCUUGCACCUAGAGAUAGGCCCAAGUGAGAUUAGCUAGUUGGUGGGGUAAAGGCCCACCAAGGCGACGAUCUCUAGCUGUUCUGAGAGGAUGAUCAGCCACACUGGGACUGAGACACGGCCCAGACUCCUACGGGAGGCAGCAGUGGGGAAUAUUGCACAAUGGGGGAAACCCUGAUGCAGCCAUGCCGCGUGUGUGAAGAAGGCCUUCGGGUUGUAAAGCACUUUCAGUGGUGAGGAAGGAUGUAAGAUUAAUACUCUUGCAUAUUGACGUUAGCCACAGAAGAAGCACCGGCUAACUCCGUGCCAGCAGCCGCGGUAAU